rnacentral:rRNA from 1 species
GACGAACGCUGGCGGCGUGCCUAACACAUGCAAGUCGAGCGAUGAAACCCUUCGGGGUGGAUUAGCGGCGGACGGGUGAGUAACACGUGGGUAACCUGCCUCAAAGAGGGGGUUAGCCUCCCGAAAGGGAGAUUAAUACCGCAUAAUAUUAUUUCUUCGCAUGAAGAGAUAAUCAAAGGAGUAAUCCGCUUUGAGGUGGACCCGCGGCGCAUUAGCUAGUUGGUGAGGUAAUGGCUCACCAAGGCGACGAUGCGUAGCCGACCUGAGAGGGUGAUCGGCCACAUUGGAACUGAGAUACGGUCCAGACUCCUACGGGAGGCAGCAGUGGGGAAUAUUGCGCAAUGGGGGAAACCCUGACGCAGCAACGCCGCGUGGGUGAAGAAGGCCUUCGGGUUGUAAAGCUCUGUCUUCUGGGACGAUAAUGACGGUACCAGAGGAGGAAGCCACGGCUAACUACGUGCCAGCCGCCGCGGUAA